rnacentral:lncRNA from 1 species
UGACCUCUCCCAGGUGGGCACAGAACUCCCAGGCUCAGGACUCACCGUGGACUCCAGGGCUCCGCAGGCAUUCAGGGGAAAGGGGUGGGGAUGCAGGAAGGAGGCUCAGCCCAGAGGGCGGGGCCAAGAUCCUGAUUGGAGGAAAUCAAGGUGAGCGCGCUGCUACAAACUGGGCCCCUAUUUCUAGUUGGUGGCCAAACAUUUUGCCUGGGGCUGGGCCUGGGGCUGGGCCCGGGGCUGGGCCCGGGGCUGGGCCUGGGGCUUUGCCCGGGGCUGGGUCUAGGGCUGGGUCCAGGGCUGGGCCGCGGACUGGGCCUCGGACUGGGCCUCGGACUGGGCCUCGGACUGGGCCUCGGACUUGGCCUCGGAUUGGGCCGAGGAUUGGGCAGAGGCACGGGCCUACUGAUGGGCCUCCUGCUCGUGCCAGGUCGCCGCCGAGGUCUGCUUUGGCGGUUUCCACAUUCACGCAUCAGCCCGUUCACUGCGUCCGGGAGAAAACAGCUGGCGAGGCUCGGUUCCCCCCCACUCUCCGCCGGGAAGAGCAUGGCUUCGGGCGGCCCUGCGCAGAGAACGCAGAUGUGGACCCUCGGAAAGGAAAAUCAAAGCCAGUGAGUGAGGCCACAUGUCUACCCCCAGAAGAAUAGCCAAUGUCCAGGUGUGCCUGAAAAGAGUCUCAGUGACAGCAGCCCUCAGGUGAUGCAGAGCGCCAUGUUCUCAGCAAAGACCCACAUGCUUAUGCUGUCACAGGCUUGGAGGGAUGGCAGCAGGUGCAGGGGUGUGGUGACAACAUCUUGUGAAUCUGCACAGAAACCGCACUGUGUCCUGACAGCUCACACCCACGCUCAGUCAGAAGCCAAGGCUUGGGCACCCAGCACAGCCCUGUGCUCUCCACAGACCCAGGGGCCACUGCUCACGGGGACCACUUGGGAAUGAAGUGCAGCUUCCACACAGUGCACAGACAG